rnacentral:rRNA from 1 species
UGGGGAAUAUUGGACAAUGGGGGGAACCCUGAUCCAGCCAUGCCGCGUGUGUGAAGAAGGCCUUAUGGUUGUAAAGCACUUUAAGCGAGGAGGAGGGUACUGGUAUUAAUACUACCAGGUACUGGACGUUACUCGCAGAAUAAGCACCGGCUAACUCUGUGCAAGCAGCCGCGGUAAUACAGGGGGUGCGAGCGUUAAUCGGAUUUACUGGGCGUAAAGCGUGCGUAGGCGGCUAAUUGAGUCGGAUGUGGAAACCCCGAGCUUAACUUGGGAGUUGCAUUCGGUACUGGUUAGCUAGAGUGUGGGAGAGGAUGGUAGAAUUCCAGGUGUAGCGGUGAAAUACGUAGAGAUCUGGAGGAAUACCGAUAGCGAAGGCAGCCAUCUGGCCUAACACUGACGCUGAGGUGCGAAAGCAUGGGGAGCAAACAGG